rnacentral:rRNA from 1 species
ACCCGCUGAACUUAAGCAUAUCAAUAAGCGGAGGAAAAGAAACCAACAGGGAUUGCCCUAGUAACGGCGAGCGAAGCGGCAAUAGCUCAAAUUUGAAAUCUGGCCUCUGGAAACGGGGGCCCGAGUUGUAAUUUGUAGAGGAUGCUUCGGUAACCGCGCCGGCCCAAGUUCCUUGGAAGCGGACGUCAUAGAGGGUGAGAACCCCGUCGUUGGCCGGGACUAUUUAGCGGCUGCCGCGUGAAGCUCCUUCGACGAGUCGAGUUGUUUGGGAAUGCAGCUCUAAAUGGGAGGUAAAUUUCUUCUAAAGCUAAAUAUCGGCCGGAGACCGAUAGCGAACAAGUAGAGUGAUCGAAAGAUGAAAAGCACUUUGGAAAGAGAGUCAAAAAGCACGUGAAAUUGUUGAAAGGGAAGCGCUUGCGGUCAGACGCAAACCGCGGCCGUUCAGCCGGGCGCCCUCGGGGGCCCGGUGAAUUCGGCUGUGGAUUGGGCUAGCGUCGAUCGGAGCGGUCGCUGAAAGGCCUGGGGAACGUGGCUCCUCCCUCGGGAGGAGAGCUUAUAGCCCCGGGUGACAUGCGACCUGUUCCGAUCGAGGUCUGCGCCAACUCUCGGGUUGGUCAGGACGCUGGCGUAAUGGCUGU